CACCUGCACUCCUGAAUUACAUGCUUUACAUCAUACGUGGAGAAUGUGAGAUGUCCGAGAUGAUACUCCAUCACAGGAUGAGCCAUAAACUAAUCAUCACGCUUCCAGGCUUGCCUUUUCAUAACAUAAGAUACUGGUUUGAAUCUAGAAGCAAGGAAGCUGGAUCUUUCAGCGCUGUGCUGAAAAUAAUUAGUCCAGACCCAGUAGCGAUGACUAAUUUGGGCUUGGCAUCUACAAAUACAGCUGUACCAUUUCUAUUUCAGAACAUCCAUGGGUCAGAAGCAGUUUAAGUUGCCUGCACCAAGACCUGCAGCAAGACACACAUGCACCAAGUUAAAGCACAAGCCUACCCUGUAACUCCAGAGGUCUUCUCACACACUGUUUUUGGCUGGUAUAAGGGUUAGCCCUGAAGGAACAAGAAGCCUGUACAAAUACUCUCAGAUUCAUCUAGAAUAACUUCAGUCUCCCAAAGAGAAUGUUGCAAGACAAUCAAGAGCAUGAACUGAUCUUGCUGUCUGCUAUCCCAGGAAAGCAGCAUCUCACUGCAGAGUUAGGUUUGGUUUCAAAAAGAGAAUUUGCUGCAGCUAUUGAUGGUGUAAAACUAGCUUUAUUUUUUAAAUAAGCUCUUUUUCAUUUUUCUGCUACCUGACAAAACCCUUUCAGAUUAUCAAAGGGAAAUGAUGAAGUCCAAAGAUGUAUAAGCAAAACUACUCACCUGUGAGUGUUGUUUGUGUUCUACCAAGGUGGAAAUUUUCAGGCCAAAGCACAGCCCCCUAGUUGUUAAGAAUCUGGUCCAAAUCAGUAAUCUAAGAUGGCUUGUACUGUCAUCAGAGGAAGACAUGUCUGACCAGCAGGUUAUCAGUCAAUUCAUCCCCAUUCUAAAAUGUGUAAGAUGGCUGUAAAAGUUGUGAUGAAAGGUUCUCCUACUGCAAGUGAAACGACAGCUCACAUAAAAUAAAAAGGGAUUUAGUAAAGGGUGGGGGGAGGAUUUACAUGAGAUAAUGAGCAAGGGAAAGAAAAUGAAAUGGAGAAUCUACAGCAAAAUGUCUCAACAAUCCAGGGUAAUUCAGUCAGUCUCAAAUGUUAUGUGACAUUUUUUCCCCACUCCCAACUUAAAGCCUACUUGGAGAUCCACUCCAGUUCCGCACUUGUCACCUUGAAAUGGCGUGACAGAAACACGCUGAUGUGCAUUUAAACAUACACGCACAUGCAGAGUGGUCCCACUUACGUAAGAGUGUAAAGCAGUUAAAGCUUCUUGCAAAGAAAUAGUGUUAUGGAUUUCAGAUAAUUUCAUGGCUCCUUGUGCACAUCAAUAAAGCAUCACUAAAGCCAUCUUUCUUGUGGAGUUUAAAAGAUGUUCAUAUGAAUGUAAUUAAAAUGGACAGCAUGAGCUUUAGAACAGUUACCAUAAGAACGUAGGUGAUAUAAAGAGGGUAUAAAGAUGAACAACCUUCAGAGGUUUUUCCUCAUGUGUUAAUGCUGACUCUAUGAAAUGCUUGAGCCAUCCAUAUAAAAAACAGUGAGAUAAUUACUAGGUUUACUACAAUGAGCACAGAAGAAUUGUUACCAAGCAGAUAAUUUUCAAUAGACAUUAGUUCAUUACAGCAUCAUGGAGCUUACUUCAGAUUUCAGUGAACUGUGUUUUCUAAAAGAGAUAGGGGAACAGGGGACAAAGCAAUUCAUAAACACUGCUCCCGAUCUCCCCAGCCCUCAUCCUGUUUUAAAUGUUACCAUUCAUUAUUAGCUUCUUUAUAAUCUCUCUUCUAUUUAUACUCAUCCCUCACAUCCCUCCUUACAGCCCCAGCCUCAGUGUGCCCAGCCAGACCCACCCUUGUGGUGGGAGGGGGCAUUUCAUCCCAGGGCCUCAAGUCCCUGUGACCACAUCCCUGCAGCAAGGGGAUGGACAGGAGCACAACGUGAUUCCUUUCCACCCUUCAUGCAGGGAGUGCUUUGCAUGCACUUAACCUUUCAAGCAUGAAAGGAGACUAAAAGGAAGAUGGAACAAAUCCCACUCAUUUCAGGUGUUGUCAUGCUGAAUUUGUAGACUUUAUUUGUGUAAUUAAGUCAUAGAAGCACUAGGUCUUAAGGGCAUCUGGUGCUGUCAGACUUGCACUGCUGAGUAAAGAGAAACAUAAAUCCUGUGUGCAUUUCAAAUUAAAAUUACUGUCAGCUGAAGAAAACUUUGUCACUCAAAGCUUAUGGGGCAGAAAUUUGAAGGAAUGGUUGCAGUUAAGAGAUCCAUCAUAGCAUGGCUUACAAAAAAAAGCAGAAACAACUUUAUGUAAAAAAAUAAAAUUGCUUAUGUCACACAAAAAAAGGAUUAUAUUAAUGGCAUUAUAUUUGAUAGGUAAAAAUGCGCCUUGGUGCUCUCUAUACUUUCAUAAAUGUUAAUGAUGCAAGUGGUAGCACUUCAUUUUUGUUGAUAAGCUUCAAAACAAGGAGGUAUGUCCAUUUCUGCUUGAAAAAGUCUGAUUCUCUGAGUCAAGUCUCUGGCUGGAUUGAAUAGACUGUGUGUGUAUGUGUUGCCACAGGGGGUUUCUUUAAAAUAGUUUCAUCAAUGAAUGAAGCAGUUUCUAGAGAGAGAACAAUAAAAUUUCCAUGUAAGAAACAUA